CUACUCUUGACAUCCAGAGAACUUUYCAGAGAUGGAUUGGUGCCUUCGGGAACUCUGAGACAGGUGCUGCAUGGCUGUCGUCAGCUCGUGUUGUGAAAUGUUGGGUUAAGUCCCGCAACGAGCGCAACCCUUAUCCUUGUUUGCCAGCACUUCGGGUGGGAACUCCAGGGAGACUGCCGGUGAUAAACCGGAGGAAGGUGGGGACGACGUCAAGUCAUCAUGGCCCUUACGAGUAGGGCUACACACGUGCUACAAUGGCGCAUACAGAGGGCGGCCAACUUGCGAAAGUGAGCGAAUCCCAAAAAGUGCGUCGUAGUCCGGAUUGGAGUCUGCAACUCGACUCCAUGAAGUCGGAAUCGCUAGUAAUCGUGGAUCAGAAUGCCACGGUGAAUACGUUCCC
rnacentral:rRNA from 2 species